rnacentral:rRNA from 1 species
AGAGUUUGAUCCUGGCUCAGGACGAACGCUGGCGGCGUGCCUAACACAUGCAAGUCACGGGGGGUAGCAAUACCAACCGGCGAACGGGUGCGGAACACGUGAGCAAUCUACCGAUUACUGGGGGAUAGCCGGCCCAACGGCCGGGUAAUACCGCAUACGCUCAAGAGGGGACAUCCCCAUUUGAGGAAACCUCCGGGGGUAAUCGAGGAGCUCGCGUCUUAUCAGCUAGUUGGUGAGGUAACGGCUCACCAAGGCUACGACGGGUAGCUGGUCUGAGAGGAUGGCCAGCCACAUUGGGACUGCGACACGGCCCAGACUCCUACGGGAGGCAGCAGUGGGGAAUAUUGCGCAAUGGACGAAAGUCUGACGCAGCGACGCCGCGUGUGGGAUGAAGCUCUUCGGGGUGUAAACCACUGUUGCCCGGGACGAAUAUCCUUUUUUGAAAGGAUUGACGGUACCGGGUGAGGAAGCACCGGCUAACUCUGUGCCAGCAGCCGCGGUAAUACAGAGGGUGCGAGCGUUGUCCGGAAUCACUGGGCGUAAAGGGCGCGUAGGUGGCUUGUUAAGCGUGUGGUGAAAGCCUGGGGCUCAACCCCAGGUCUGCCGUGCGAACUGGCAAGCUUGAGCGUAGUAGAGGCAGGUGGAAUUUCGGGUGUAGCGGUGGAAUGCGUAGAUAUCCGAAAGAACACCGGUGGCGAAGGCGGCCUGCUGGGCUACUGCUGACACUGAUGCGCGACAGCGUGGGGAGCAAACAGGAUUAGAUACCCUGGUAGUCCACGCCGUAAACGAUGGGUACUAGGCGUCUGGGGGAGCGACCCCCUGGGUGCCGGCGCUAACGCAUGAAGUACCCCGCCUGGGGAGUACGGCCGCAAGGCUGAAACUCAAAGGAAUUGACGGGGGCCCGCACAAGCGGUGGAGCAUGUGGUUUAAUUCGACGCAACGCGAAGAACCUUACCUGGGUUUGACAUGCUGGAGAAAGCCCUCAGAAACGGGGGCCCCUCUUCGGAGUUCCAGCACAGAUGCUGCAUGGCUGUCGUCAGCUCGUGUCGUGAGAUGUUGGGUUAAGUCCCGCAACGAGCGCAACCCUCAUCCCUAGUUACCAGCGGGUAAAGCCGGGAACUCUAGGGGGACUGCCGGUGCCAAACCGGACGAAGGUGGGGACGACGUCAAGUCAUCAUGGCUCUUACAUCCAGGGCUACACACGUGCUACAAUGGGCAGACAAAGGGUCGCCAACCCGCGAGGGGGAGCCAAUCCCAUAAACUGGUCCUCAGUUCGGAUUGCAGUCUGCAACUCGACUGCAUGAAGCUGGAAUCGCUAGUAAUCGUGGAUCAGCUACGCCACGGUGAAUACGUUCCCGGGCCUUGUACACGCCGCCCGUCACGCCAUGGAAGCUGUGAGUGCCCGAAGUCCGUGCAGGAACCCGCAAGGGGCCGAGCGGCCGAAGGCAAGCGCAGUGACUGGGGCGAAGUCGUAACAAGGUA